rnacentral:rRNA from 1 species
UACGGAGGGGGCUAGCGUUGUUCGGAAUUACUGGGCGUAAAGCGCACGUAGGCGGCUUGGUAAGUUAGAGGGGAAAGCCCGGAGCUCAACUCCGGAACUGCCUUUAAGACUGCAUCGCUAGAAUUGUGGAGAGGUGAGUGGAAUUCCGAGUGUAGAGGUGAAAUUCGUAGAUAUUCGGAAGAACACCAGUGGCGAAGGCGACUCACUGGACGCAUAUUGACGCUGAGGUGCGAAAGCGUGGGGAGCAAACAGG